GAUGAACGCUAGCGGGAGGCCUAACACAUGCAAGCCGAGCGGUAUUGUUUCUUCGGAAAUGAGAGAGCGGCGUACGGGUGCGGAACACGUGUGCAACCUGCCUUUAUCUGGGGGAUAGCCUUUCGAAAGGAAGAUUAAUACUCCAUAAUAUAUUGAACGGCAUCGUUUAAUAUUGAAAGCUCCGGCGGAUAGAGAUGGGCACGCGCAAGAUUAGCUAGUUGGUGAGGUAACGGCUCACCAAGGCGAUGAUCUUUAGGGGGCCUGAGAGGAUGAUCCCCCACACUGGUACUGAGACACGGACCAGACUCCUACGGGAGGCAGCAGUGAGGAAUAUUGGUCAAUGGGUGCAAGCCUGAACCAGCCAUCCCGCGUGAAGGACGACUGCCCUAUGGGUUGUAAACUUCUUUUGUAUAGGGAUAAACCUACCCUCGUGAGGGUAGCUGAAGGUACUAUACGAAUAAGCACCGGCUAACUCCGUGCCAGCAGCCGCGGUAAUACGGAGGGUGCAGGCGUUAUCCGGAUUUAUUGGGUUUAAAGGGUCCGUAGGCGGACUUAUAAGUCAGUGGUGAAAGCCUGUCGCUUAACGAUAGAACUGCCAUUGAUACUGUAAGUCUUGAGUAUAUUUGAGGUAGCUGGAAUAAGUAGUGUAGCGGUGAAAUGCAUAAAUAUUACUUAGAACACCAAUUGCGAAGGCAGGUUACCAAGAUAUAACUGACGCUGAGGGACGAAAGCGUGGGGAGCGAAGAGGAUUAGAUACCCUGGUAGUCCACGCCGUAAACGAUGCUAACUCGUUUUUGGGCUUUAGGGUUCAGAGACCAAGCGAAAGUGAUAAGUUAGCCACCUGGGGAGUACGCUCGCAAGAGUGAAACUCAAAGGAAUUGACGGGGGCCCGCACAAGCGGUGGAUUAUGUGGUUUAAUUCGAUGAUACGCGAGGAACCUUACCAAGACUUAAAUGGGAAUUGACAGCUUUAGAAAUAGAGCUUUCUUCGGACAAUUUUCAAGGUGCUGCAUGGUUGUCGUCAGCUCGUGCCGUGAGGUGUUAGGUUAAGUCCUGCAACGAGCGCAACCCCUGUCACUAGUUGCCAUCAUUCAGUUGGGGACUCUAGUGAGACUGCCUACGCAAGUAGAGAGGAAGGUGGGGAUGACGUCAAAUCAUCACGGCCCUUACGUCUUGGGCCACACACGUAAUACAAUGGCCGGUACAGAGGGCAGCUACACAGCGAUGUGAUGCAAAUCUCGAAAGCCGGUCUCAGUUCGGAUUGGAGUCUGCAACUCGACUCUAUGAAGCUGGAAUCGCUAGUAAUCGCGCAUCAGCCAUGGCGCGGUGAAUACGUUCCCGGGCCU
rnacentral:rRNA from 1 species